rnacentral:lncRNA from 1 species
GCGACCAUAAGAAUCAUAAGACCUUAGUCUAGCCGCAGGACAAGUUGGCAAAUCUGCAUAUUUAUUUUCAUUCCAGCAUAAACAUCAGGAAUAAAAUCACUCAAUUUUUCAUGAUCAUGUCACAUAAGAGUUCCCAGCUGUUCUAACGGGCUAGCAUCUCAACAGGUCUGCAUUUGUGACACCUUCCAUUGCAGCAAUAAGUAGCCAAAACCCAUAUCAAAAGACACCUGGAGCCACCCAAUAGUAUCACUUGGAAGCUAGAAAUACACGUCAAAUUAGAUCAAAAUAACCCAAUUACUCAAAAUCAAGACUGAGAAGCUAACUUUCAAGCAAGAAUCAUUCCAUUGAAGCUCUGAACCCUAUUGUCCAGUACAUUGAUAGCAAAGAUAAUAGCACCCGCUACAUAUACAAGUUCAAGGGUAACAAAAACAAAUUUUUUCAUCCGAAAACAAUCUUCUGGCAUGCUUUAGAGAUCUGACGAAACAUGGUUCAUCCAAAAACUGAAUGAAGAUUAUAGAAGUCAAGAUAUAUUUCAAUCCACGAAAGAAUCAACUUUCA